rnacentral:rRNA from 1 species
CGCGUAGGCGGAUUGGUAAGUCUGGUGUGAAAUCCCAUAGCUUAACUGUGGAACUGCAUCAGAUACUGCCAGUCUAGAGUGCGGGAGAGGAGAGUGGAAUUCCCAGUGUAGAGGUGAAAUUCGUAGAUACUGGGAGGAACACCGGUGGCGAAGGCGGCUCUCUGGACCGCAACUGACGCUGAGGCGCGAAAGCUAGGGGAGCAAACG